rfam:Methylosinus sp. 3S-1 3S1contig37, whole genome shotgun sequence.
CCCCUUUCCGAGCGGCCCAUGGAUGCGUAUAUUGUCCAUUGCCGUCGUUCGCGGCGGCUAUGGCGAUAAACGAGCAUCGGAAUAAGCCUAUCGGACCCGGGGGCGGUACCCGGCGCCUCCACCCGAGGCCGUGACCUGCAGAAUGCAGUGUGCGCGAUGCGGCCUGGGGCGGGGGCGAAAUAGGAUCGACGAGGGUGUAAAGGGUGUUUUUUCGCUCGGCAUGAUACCGCCGUUAUCGGGUCAAUCCUAUAGUUGCCAACGACAACUAUGCUCCGGUGGCCGUCGCCGCGUAAUGCGGUGAAGGUACUGGGUUCAAAGCCCUAGGGGGUUGCACCUCUAGGCGGGGCUCGGAGGCGCCUGGCAACAGAAGCCUCCACU